rnacentral:sRNA from 1 species
UGUAGAUAUUUUAGGCUUUGCAGGCUGCACAGUGUUUACUGCAGCUACUCAGCAUUGCUGCUGCAGCACAGAAGCAGCCAUAGAGGACAUAUACAUGAAGGAGCAUGGCUGUGUUCCAAUAAAACUUUAUUUACAAAGCAGGAAACCCACCCAUAGGCCAUAGGUUUGCUGACCGUGGAUCCAGGACACUGGAGAGGAAUCAGCAAUGGGGACUGAAGCAGGAGCAGCCUGGAGAUUGGGGUGGACCAGGAGAGGAGGUUGCCUCAGAAACUAAGCAAAGCAUUUUUGCAGAAGAAAGUAGUGAUCUGCUGGGUCAAAUCCUGCUGGCAUAAGAAGUAAGAUGAGGACUGAAAGUUGCACGUGAGCAGUGUAGAGGCCGUGGGUGAGCUGAUGAAAGCACUUUGGUGGAGGAUAAGCCUGAUGAAGUCCUCCGAUAUUGAUCAGGAUUUAUUUACAGACAGUUACUGCAAGGUGUGCAGUGCACAGCUGAUCUCCGAAUCACAGCGUGUGGCCCACUACGAGUGUGGUGCAGUUCCUCUGGGAAUGAGCAAUGUAACUUAAAACUAGCUGU